rnacentral:rRNA from 1 species
UACGGGGGGAGCAAGCGUUGUUCGGAAUUACUGGGCGUAAAGGGCUCGUAGGUGGCCAACUAAGUCAGACGUGAAAUCCCUCGGCUUAACCGGGGAACUGCGUCUGAUACUGGAUGGCUUGAGUUCGGGAGAGGGAUGCGGAAUUCCAGGUGUAGCGGUGAAAUGCGUAGAUAUCUGGAGGAACACCGGUGGCGAAGGCGGCGUUCUGGACUGCAACUGACACUGAGAAACGAAAGCCAGGGUAGCAAACGGG